ACAUAAUAUCUGUCUUCAUGAAGAAAUGCAUAAAUGGGCAUCAUAUGUCGUCGUCAAAUUAGACGAAAAAAAUGCACCAAGUUAUGGCCCAUGGCUGGGUUCACUAAUUUGUUGUGUCUAUUGUAAGCACAUGCAGCACUGUUAAUUUGUGUAUAUUUUCAUGUUAAAUGACAGGUGACAGUUAAACAAACGUGGUCUCGCUUAAUUAUUGGCAUAUAUAUGCACAAGAUAUGUACAAGAUAUGUAAGUCACACAUAAAGCCAUCCCGUGUCAGGUAAUUCAACUCAUGUUAAAGUCAAUCAUCCAGACAGCCGUCACCCAAUUUAUUUGUCCAUUAUUGUAUAAAUUGGCAUCUGCGUUGUAUGAAGGACAGUCUUACUUAAACGGCCGAACAUACAAGUCGCAUUAUUGCUGGCUUUCGCGGGAUGGGCCCAUUGCGGGCUUCGCAUGUAUCUUGUAUUUGACAAACAUUUUGGAAACGUUGUGUUGUGUUAAUAAGCAGAAAUAAAACGCAAAGAAAUCAGAAAUGAACUUUGUUGGUUACUGUGUCUUUUCCACGAACGAUACAUAAUUACGUGACAAAAUUUCCACAAUAUAGCAUGAAUAUGUCCUUUAAACACUGGCACAAUUGGUGGUUUGUAAUCCGUUUAUUUAAUUCAAAUUAUUCCCCUUGAAUAACAUUGUUUCGUUUGAGCAGUUCACAGGUAGCGCAACCUGUCUCGUAGUGUUUAUUUUCAAUGGCUAUUAAACGCUGUAAAUCAAAAUGACAUUGUGUACUGUUGGAUGCCUUCAAUCGAAGAAGGUUCGGAAAUGAUAUUUCCACAUGCUUAAAAUAGGUUGGGAAGUUAUUUUUCAAGACCCCGAGGAAGUGUGAGGUGUAUGGAAUCAGCUGUGAAGGAUCUGGAAAGCAGGUGUUUUACCUCGCAGACGAAGGCCAGUCACAUGGUAAAGGUGCAAAUGCUGUGGUCAGCCAGGUUCACUACUACCUCAACACAUACAGCGAACAGCAUGCUCACUUUCAGUGUGACAACUGUUGCGGCCAAAAUAAAAACAACAUAGUCAUCUGGUACCUUCUGUGGAGAGUUAUUGUUUACACAGAAUCAUCACACUUAGCUUUAUGUUGAUAAGACAUACAAAGUUUACACCAGAUUGGCAUUUUGGCAUCUGGAAGUCAAAGUGGAGGUAAAUUCCUUAUCACAGUAUGGUGUAUGUGACCUGCAUGAUCCUUCUUGAUAAACCUUGUUUGCAUUUCCAUAGGUCUAUCCAGUUUUAUAGUUUGCAAUGUAAUAAAAUAUAAAAAUAAUAAAACAUAAAUCAAUUAAAAUAGUGUGUAGGUACUUUAUGUUUUGUAACAGGAAAAUAAAAAUGUAUUUUAGUAGUUUCAGCUGUUUUAUUGGUAUGAAAUUCUUGAUAUGGCAAACAAAAUCCCAUGCAAAAUCAUCCUUCAAACUUUGUAGUUUUCUAUUACAACAACAAGAACAAAAUAAUAAUUUGAUAAUUGGAAAACUAUAUUUUGCAAUUGUUUCUUAAUUAAAUGGUAAUCUUGAUACAGAAACUUCAAUGCAGAAAUGUUGUCUGAUGUCGCUGUGUCUGUGGGGUUAUCGUCAAGGACAGGCCACAACAUCCCCCAGCUUGUGGGGGACACUUCCAAUCCUGUUGUUAUCUAAGACAGGAAGGAUUACCUUUCGACAUUGUUUCACCACAUAAAGAAUGUCACCAAAUUUCAUCAAUUUCCAUGUGUCAGCGGAUCAUCCCGAUGUUGUGGAGUGCAGGGAAUUUAGUGACUCAACAGUAGUCAGAAUCACUUUCAGGAAGGUCUCGAAAGUGAAUGUUAAUGUGAGCUGUGACAACCUGCCAUAAGAAAUGUUUGCGAAAGGGCAUGAUCUGGACCAUCAGUGGUAUUUAUUUGAAAACAUUAGUGAAUUCUGUCGCACAGAUGAACCAAAAACUUGACAUGUCCGAAACUAGCUACUGGUUAGCAACAAAAAACAGACUGUGCCCCCCCAAAAAGAAGAUGCAUUAAGAUGUGCAUCUGAUCUUCUCUGAUCAUGCCACAACAAUUACAUACAUCAUGUAUCAGUGUUUAUUUUGGCCAAGGUAUUGGGUGAUACAUUUUCCCCCAAACAAUGAAAAAAAUACUCUUUUCCUAGGAAAGCUAAAACAUGUAUACGAGUGCUAAAUGUGUCAGUUGAAACAGGUUUUGAAAUGUUCAAUACAAACGUUUGUUGUUCUAAUUGCACAAGCUUGUUUUCAAGUUUUUUAUAUCUCAUAUUUACAAAACAAAAAACUUUUUUUCCAUGUAACCAUGAUAUUGUUUUCACCUUAUGGACACAGACUGCCUUUCCGAAAAACUGGAAAAAAAAUCAGUGUGAAUAUUGUAUUUAUUUAUGUUUUACAAUGAAAAUCCUAUAUUUUUGUUUGUUUGCUACAUUGUUUCCAUAGUAACAAAAACAAACAAUUUUUAUGUUUAAGUUAUUGUUUAUUUUGUCUAUUUUUCUCUAUCAGAAAUAAUGAUAAAUAAUGAUUAUUUCAAUUACUGAAACAUUUAGUAUCCAAGUGUACUUUCAACCAACACUUUUCAAUGCUGUGUUUUUCCCAUUCUGUUGUGUUUGAGGUUACAUUAUACUUAAAUACACAUGUAAAUGAAUAAAAAAGGAAAUUGUUCAUGGAACACACAAAUUAUUGAUUGUUAUUGUUUAACUAGUUACAAAACAGUGAAAUUAAUGUUGUGUUUGCCUUUAAACAAACACUUGAUUGAAAAUACAAUUCAUAUAUUUAUAAAAGGCGUGAUUGUGUGCUCUGGUGAUUAUUAACUUGUAGAUUGGUUACCAUAGCAACACAAAUGGUACAUUUUAAAUGUCCAUAAUGCUGUUGUCAGUUUAUUGCACUAUAAUUAUGUAUUUGACUAAAGGAAAAAUUAUUGUUUAGAUAAAACAAUGUGCUUGUUG